ACUGGUUUGCUUCUAGUGCUUGCUUCUGCAGUAUAUGUGCAGAGAAUAUUAGCAUGGCUCCUGCACAAGAAUGAUGCAGAAAUUCAUAAAGCAUUCCAUAUUUUU